AGAGUUUGAUCCUGGCUAGGAUUAACGCUAGCGGCAGGCCUAAUACAUGCAAGUCGAACGGUAACAGGUCCAGCAAUGGAUGCUGACGAGUGGCGCACGGGUGCGUAACACGUAUGCAAUCUACCCUUAACUGGGGGAUAGCCCCGAGAAAUCGGGAUUAAUACCCCAUAACAUUAUGAUGAGGCAUCUCAUUAUAAUUAAAGCUCCGGCGGUUUUGGAUGAGCAUGCGCAACAUUAGCUAGUUGGUGAGGUAACGGCUCACCAAGGCUGCGAUGUUUAGGGGUUCUGAGAGGAUUCACCCCCACACUGGUACUGAGACACGGACCAGACUCCUACGGGAGGCAGCAGUAAGGAAUAUUGGUCAAUGGACGCAAGUCUGAACCAGCCAUGCCGCGUGAAGGAUGACAGCCCUACGGGUUGUAAACUUCUUUUGUACGGGAAAAAACCUCCGGUCGUGAACCGGAGCUGAUGGUACCGUAAGAAUAAGCAUCGGCUAACUCCGUGCCAGCAGCCGCGGUAAUACGGAGGAUGCAAGCGUUAUCCGGAUUCAUUGGGUUUAAAGGGUGCGCAGGCGGAAUGAUAAGUCAGUGGUGAAAUCCUACAGCCUUAACUGUAGAACCUGCCAUUGAUACUGUUGUUCUUGAGUACAGUUGGAGUGGGCGGAAUGUGUCAUGUAGCGGUGAAAUGCUUAGAUAUGACGCAGAACACCGGUCGCGAAGGCAGCUCGCUAAACUGUAACUGACGCUCAGGCACGAAAGCGUGGGGAUCAAACAGGAUUAGAUACCCUGGUAGUCCACGCUGUAAACGAUGAUUACUCGAUGUUGGCGAUAUACAGUCAGCGUCUAAGCGAAAGCAUUAAGUAAUCCACCUGGGGAGUACGGCCGCAAGGUUGAAACUCAAAUGAAUUGACGG
rnacentral:rRNA from 1 species